rnacentral:sRNA from 1 species
GCCGGGCGUUGUGGCGGGCGCCUGUGGUCCCAGCUACUUGGGAGGCGGAGGCAGGAGACUCGCUUGAGCCCAGGAGUUGGAGGUUGCUGUGAGUUGUAAUGCCACGGCACUCUGCCCAGGGUGAAAGCUUGAGGCUCUGUCUCAAAAAAAAAAAAAAAAAAGAUAGAGUCUCAAUUUGUUGUCCUCAGUAGAAUGUUGUGGCAUCUUAGCUCAUAGCAACCUCAAACUCUUGGGCUAAAGUGAUCCUCAUGCC